GCCCUGAACUUUAUCCCAGAUUCCUGGCUUCCUUUCUCUUCGGUAGAGCCUGAGACUCAUAAUCUCAGGGUCGUGGGUUAGAACCCUAUGUUGGGCA